rnacentral:rRNA from 1 species
CCUACGGGAGGCAGCAGUGAGGAAUAUUGGUCAAUGGACGAGAGCCUGAACCAGCCAAGUCGCGUGAGGGAAGACGGCCCUACGGGUUGUAAACCUCUUUUGCCGGGGAGCAAGCCUUCGCACGUGUGCGCCGUCGUAUGGUCCCCGUGGACAAGGCAUCGUCUAACUCGGUGCCAGCAGCCGGGGUAAUCCGGAGGAUGCGGGCGUGCUCGGGAUUUAUUGGGUUUAAGGGGUGCGAAGGCGGUCUGUUAGGCCGGCGGGAAAGAUUCAGGGCGCAACCCGGGCGAGCCGUUGGAACUGGCAGUCUGGAGUGGGAGAGAAGUAGGCGGAAUGCGUGGUGUAGCGGUGAAAUGCAUAGAUAUUACGCAGAACGCCGAUUGCGAAGGCAGCAUACCGGAGUGUAACUGACGUUGAGGCACGAAAGCGUGGGGAUCGAACAGGAUUAGAUACCCCUGUAGUC